rnacentral:rRNA from 1 species
AACGAACGCUGGCGGCAUGCCUAACACAUGCAAGUCGAACGAGAUCUUCGGGUCUAGUGGCGCACGGGUGCGUAACGCGUGGGAAUCUGCCCUUUGGUUCGGAAUAACAGUUGGAAACGACUGCUAAUACCGGAUGAUGACGAAAGUCCAAAGAUUUAUCGCCAGAGGAUGAGCCCGCGUAGGAUUAGCUAGUUGGUGUGGUAAAGGCGCACCAAGGCGACGAUCCUUAGCUGGUCUGAGAGGAUGAUCAGCCACACUGGGACUGAGACACGGCCCAGACUCCUACGGGAGGCAGCAGUGGGGAAUAUUGGACAAUGGGCGAAAGCAUGAUCCAGCAAUGCCGCGUGAGUGAUGAAGGCCUUAGGGUUGUAAAGCUCUUUUACCCGGGAUGAUAAUGACAGUACCGGGAGAAUAAGCCCCGGCUAACUCCGUGCCAGCCGCCGCGGUAA